GCUUAACGCGAAGAACCUUACCCACCUUUGACAUGUACGGAAUCCUUUAGAGAUAGAGGAGUGCUCGAAAGAGAGCCGUAACACAGGUGCUGCAUGGCUGUCGUCAGCUCGUGUCGUGAGAUGUUGGGUUAAGUCCCGCAACGAGCGCAACCCUUGCCAUUAGUUGCUACGAAAGGGCACUCUAAUGGGACUGCCGGUGACAAACCGGAGGAAGGUGGGGAUGACGUCAAGUCCUCAUGGCCCUUAUAGGUGGGGCUACACACGUCAUACAAUGGCUGGUACAGAGGGUUGCCAACCCGCGAGGGGGAGCUAAUCCCACAAAGCCAGUCGUAGUCCGGAUCGCAGUCUGCAACUCGACUGCGUGAAGUCGGAAUCGCUAGUAAUCGCGGAUCAGAAUGUCGCGGUGAAUACGUUCCCGGGUCUUGUACACACCG
rnacentral:rRNA from 1 species